UACGUAGGGUGCAAGCGUUGUCCGGAAUUAUUGGGCGUAAAGAGCUCGUAGGCGGUCUGUCGCGUCGGCUGUGAAAACCCGGAGCUCAACUCCGGGCCUGCAGUCGAUACGGGCAGACUGGAGUUCGGCAGGGGAGACUGGAAUUCCUGGUGUAGCGGUGAAAUGCGCAGAUAUCAGGAGGAACACCGGUGGCGAAGGCGGGUCUCUGGAACGCAACUGACGCUGAGACGCGAAAGCGUGGGGAGCAAACAGG
rnacentral:rRNA from 1 species